AAUGAACGUUGCCGGCAUGGAUUAGGCAUGCAAGUCGGGGGAAUCCCAGCAAUGGGGGAACCGGCGUAAGGGGCAGUAAGGCAUGGGUACCUACCGUGGGGUUCGGGAUAGCCAUCAAAGAUGGUGGGUAAUACCGGAUGACGCCGUGAGACCAAAGAUUUAUCGCCCUUAGAGGGGCCCAUGUGAUAUUAGCUAGUUGGUGGGGUAACGGCCCACCAAGGCGAAGAUGUCUAGCGGGUGUGAGAGCACGACCCGCGCCACUCGCACUGAGACACUGGCGAGACACCUACGGGUGGCUGCAGUCGAGGAUCUUCGGCAAUGAGCGCAAGCUUGACCGAGCGAUGCCGCGUGAGCGAUGAAGGCCUUCGGGUUGUAAAGCUCUUUAGUGGGGGAGAAAAGCCGCAAGGUGUGAUCUAUCCCAAAAAUAAGCACGGGCUAAGUUCGUGCCAGCAGCCGCCGUAA
rnacentral:rRNA from 1 species